CAAAGCGUAGCUUAAACUAAAGCAUCCAGCUUACACCCGGAAGAUAUCGCAAAUAGCUGAUCGCUCUGA
rnacentral:tRNA from 1 species